rnacentral:sRNA from 1 species
GUGAUAUCUUUGCAGAUGAAGCACUCUACUUAUCCACAGGACAGGACAGAUACAACACAGACAAUGCAGGCUUCCCGCACAGCCUCAAGGUACCUCAGCCCUGACCUAGAGGGUCUAUAUCUAUGCAUGAAAGGAUAGUUAAUUUCCCACCCCCAUUAAGUCCUUGAGCACU